CCUAGCCACCCGACGUCGACCACAGAAGCCGACGCCGACCCCAAUCGCCGGUGCCCUAGAGCCGAUCACCGUGCAUCACCCUUUCUUCCUCUGCCCUGGUGUGAGUUCACUGCCGAUUUGCUGUGCCGCCGCCGAGCCGAGCAUCUCCACCGACGCACGAGCAGUGCCGGCGACCCUUCCUCUGCCCUAGACAACCUGCAGUGCCGGCGCUGUCAUCUGUGCCCUAGCGUCUCCGCCGACGCCAAGCAGUGCUGUUAUCUCUCCGGGUUGUGGACAGAGGCAAAGCAAUCCGAGACUAGCCUCUUGGUGAUCCCAAUCUGCUGCCCAACACCAUUGUCUUUCCCUCUUCAUUCCUCCGGCAGCCGGUUUCACUACCACCAGCAGUAGAUUUUGUAUUGUACUACCAUCACUGAAGAAGAGGAAGUGGAAACAGGGAGGAAGCAAUUGUAAAACCUCUGUGGCCGGAUUGUACCCUUGACCACCUACUUGAGUUUGGGACUUUGACGCGAGACGAGUAUCUCGGAGUC